rnacentral:lncRNA from 1 species
UGAAGCUACUGUCCCUUCAAGUUUUUAUCUUUCUAUUGUAAGAGAAAAACGUCUUCCUCAUAUGAUUUCUUCACUAAUAAAUCAAACCAAUAGCAACAUCACACAAAUGUUAAGUGUUGGGUCAGCUGAUAUUAUUCUUGAAGCUUGUUCCGAUAUAUGGAAUGGGUGUGAUAUUAAACCUCUUUCUGAAGCUAAAAAAGAAAAAGCUCUUAGCUUUUUUCAGCGUAUGGAUAUUACAGGAAGAUGUUUAGCUUAUUCAUACAGACCUGUAUUUGAGGUUG